UGUAAGCGUAUACCAAAGUUGUUGCAGUUACAACGCUCGUAGUCGGAAUUUGGCAGUUCCGGAUGUGUGCACGUCGUGUGCGCACUUCGCGGGGAUUGCAUUUGUGGUCUUGCGUAGGAUGAGGCACUUUUAUUAGUGAACGUCCUCACGCAACCACUUUUUACUGUGAGAAAAUCAGAGUGCUCAAAGCAGGCAUUUGCCGUGAAUGUAUUAGCAUGGAAUAAUAGAAUAGGACUUGGUUCUAUUUUGUUGGUUUGUUGGGACUGAGUAAUGAUUAAGAGGGACAGUUGGGGGCAUUUGUAUUUCGGUGCUAGAGGUGAAAUUCUUAGAUUACCGAAAGACAAACUGCUGCGAAAGCGUCUGCCAAGGAUGUUUUCAUUGA
rnacentral:rRNA from 1 species